AGUGAACGCUGGCGGUAGGCCUAACACAUGCAAGUCGAACGGCAGCACAGUAAGAGCUUGCUCUUACGGGUGGCGAGUGGCGGACGGGUGAGGAAUACAUCGGAAUCUACUUUUUCGUGGGGGAUAACGUAGGGAAACUUACGCUAAUACCGCAUACGACAUACGGGUGAAAGCAGGGGAUCUUCGGACCUUUCGCGAUUGAAUGAGCCGAUGUCGGAUUAGCUAGUUGGCGGGGUAAAGGCCCACCAAGGCGACGAUCCGUAGCUGGUCUGAGAGGAUGAUCAGCCACACUGGAACUGAGACACGGUCCAGACUCCUACGGGAGGCAGCAGUGGGGAAUAUUGGACAAUGGGCGAAAGCCUGAUCCAGCCAUACCGCGUGGGUGAAGAAGGCCUUCGGGUUGUAAAGCCCUUUUGUUGGGAAAGAAAAGCAGCAGGUUAAUACCCCGCUGUUCUGACGGUACCCAAAGAAUAAGCACCGGCUAACUUCGUG
rnacentral:rRNA from 1 species